CAAUGUGAUCCCACCCUGGGAGGCUGAGACCUAGAUUCAAAUGGAGUACUCGCCUGUCUGUCCCUUCUCUGCUACGGUUCAGGUUAGAUGAGCUGCUCCCGUUGGUGGUUUUUAUCUCUUAGCUACACAGCUGCCUGUAGCACUCUCGUCUUUCAGAAUGAGUUGCCAACUUUCCAUUCUGGCCGUCAGAAUUAAAACAAAGAAUCAUCCUCCAAAGUCAUCCAGGCCGAUUUGGUGGUGGCAGGAACAAAAGGGCACCAAUCCCAGAAGGGGGAGGCUAGAUCAACUUUAGGUCACGACUUACUACUUUCCUGCCCUUCAGGAGGCCGAGGCAGGUGGAUCAUCUGAGGUCAGGAGUUCGAGACCAGCCUGACCAACAUGAAGAAACCCUGUCUCUAUGAAAAAUACAAAACUAGCCAGGCGUGGUGGUGCAUGCCUGUAAUCUCAG
rnacentral:lncRNA from 1 species